UACGGGGGGGGCAAGCGUUGUUCGGAAUUACUGGGCGUAAAGGGUCUGUAGGUGGCUUGCUAAGUCAGACGUGAAAUCCCUCAGCUUAACUGGGGAACUGCGUCUGAGACUGGCGAGCUUGAGGGCAGGAGAGGAACGCGGAAUUCCAGGUGUAGCGGUGAAAUGCGUAGAUAUCUGGAGGAACACCGGUGGCGAAGGCGGCGAUUCUAGGACCAUAACUGACACUGAGAGACGAAAGCCAGGGGAGCAAACGGG
rnacentral:rRNA from 1 species